rnacentral:rRNA from 2 species
UGCGCAGGCGGACUGGUAAGUCAGUGGUGAAAUCUCGUCGCUUAACGACGAAACUGCCUUUGAUACUAUCAGUCUUGAGUCCGGUAGAGAUCUGUGGAAUUCCGAGUGUAGCAGUGAAAUGUGUAGAUAUUCGGAAGAACACCAGUGGCGAAGGCAGCAGAUUGGGCCGGUACUGACGCUCAUGCACGAAAGCGUGGGGAUCAAACAGGAUUAGAUACCCUGGUAGUCCACGCCCUAAACGAUGUACACUUGAUGUCGGCCUGUAAGGGUCGGUGUCGGAGCUAACGCGUUAAGUGUACCACCUGGGGAGUACGCUCGCAAGGGUGAA